rnacentral:lncRNA from 1 species
GUCCCAAGAGCUUUUAUCAACAGGUGAGCUGAAGCCAGAUUGUUAUGGAGGUUUGUUUAUAUAUAUGAGUUUCUAUUAGAAGAAACAUGUGAAAGGAAGAAAAUAAAUUAAGUUUGAUAUAUAUAUGUUCAUGAAGAUUAGAGUUGAGAGAAGUCUACCGUCUAACAAGAUUCCAAGCAGACCAGGGCCUGCAGAAAGAGGAAAAGGAAACGAAUCGAGAAACUCUGUAUCGUUUCCAAUUUUUAUCGGAUGUAUAUCAAAAUGGAAUAGAAGAGAACAUCUCUUUACCUUUAUAAGAGUACUUGAGUUUAUACCGUAGUUCUUCUGCACAGGAGGAAAGCACACUUGAAAAGUGAGCAUCUGUUUAUUUAAAAGCACUGCUGAUUAGAUAUGAUGGGAUAUAUGUUAUGAAGUUAC